UGGGGAAUAUUGCACAAUGGGCGCAAGCCUGAUGCAGCAACGCCGCGUGAGGGAUGACGGCCUUCGGGUUGUAAACCUCUUUUAGCAGGGAAGAAGCGAAAGUGACGGUACCUGCAGAAAAAGCACCGGCUAACUACGUGCCAGCAGCCGCGGUAAUACGUAGGGUGCAAGCGUUGUCCGGAAUUAUUGGGCGUAAAGAGCUCGUAGGCGGUCUGUCGCGUCUGCUGUGAAAUCCCGAGGCUCAACCUCGGGCCUGCAGUGGGUACGGGCAGACUAGAGUGCGGUAGGGGAGAAUGGAACUCCUGGUGUAGCGGUGGAAUGCGCAGAUAUCAGGAAGAACACCGAUGGCGAAGGCAGUUCUCUGGGCCGUAACUGACGCUGAGGAGCGAAAGCGUGGGGAGCGAACAGGAUUAGAUACCCUGGUAGUCCACGCCGUAAACGUUGGGCGCUAGAUGUGGGGACCAUUCCACGGUUUCCGUGUCGCAGCUAACGCAUUAAGCGCCCCGCCUGGGGAGUACGACCGCAAGGCU
rnacentral:rRNA from 1 species